rnacentral:misc_RNA from 1 species
GAUGAAGAACGUAGCGAAAUGCGAUAAGUAAUGCGAAUUGCAGAAUUCAGUGAAUCAUCGAAUCUUUGAACGCACAUUGCGCCCGCCAGUACUCUGGCGGGCAUGCCUGUCUGAGCGUCAUUUCAACCCUCGCGCCCGGCUUCUGUCGGGGGCGGUGUUGGGGAUCGGCCUCCCGUCUUCCGGGCGGCCGGCCCCUAAAUGGAGUGACGACCGCGCCGUAGCCUCCUCUGCGUAGUAGUGAAACACUCGCGGGCGGAGAGCGGUGCGGCCCGCCGUAAAACCCCCAACUCUUCUAAGGUUGACCUCAGAUCAGGUAGGAAUACCCGCUGAACUUAAGCAUAUCAAUAACGGAGGA